rnacentral:rRNA from 1 species
GACGAACGCUGGCGGCGUGCUUAACACAUGCAAGUCGAACGAAGAGCGAUGGAAGCUUGCUUCUAUCACUCUUAGUGGCGCACGGGUGAGUAACGCGUAAUCAACCUGCCCUUCAGAGGGGGACAACAGUUGGAAACGACUGCUAAUACCGCAUACGAUCUAAUCUCGGCAUCGAGGAUAGAUGAAAGGUGGCCUCUAUGUAUAAGCUAUCACUGAAGGAGGGGAUUGCGUCUGAUUAGCUAGUUGGAGGGGUAACGGCCCACCAAGGCGAUGAUCAGUAGCCGGUCUGAGAGGAUGAACGGCCACAUUGGGACUGAGACACGGCCCAGACUCCUACGGGAGGCAGCAGUGGGGAAUCUUCCGCAAUGGACGAAAGUCUGACGGAGCAACGCCGCGUGAGUGAUGACGGCCUUCGGGUUGUAAAGCUCUGUUAAUCGGGACGAAAGGCCUUCUUGCGAAUAGUGAGAAGGAUUGACGGUACCGGAAUAGAAAGCCACGGCUAACUACGUG